UCCCCCUUUUAGGUAGAUGACAGUUUGUUC
rnacentral:piRNA from 1 species